rnacentral:rRNA from 1 species
ACGAACGCUGGCGGCGUGCUUAACACAUGCAAGUCGAACAGAAAGGCCCUGCUUGCAGGGUACUCGAGUGGCGAACGGGUGAGUAACACGUGGGUGAUCUGCCCUGCACUUCGGGAUAAGCUUGGGAAACUGGGUCUAAUACCGGAUAGGAGCCAUCUUUAGUGUGGUGGUUGGAAAGUUUUUUCGGUGUAGGAUGAGCUCGCGGCCUAUCAGCUUGUUGGUGGGGUAAUGGCCUACCAAGGCGGCGACGGGUAGCCGGCCUGAGAGGGUGUACGGCCACAUUGGGACUGAGAUACGGCCCAGACUCCUACGGGAGGCAGCAGUGGGGAAUAUUGCACAAUGGGCGCAAGCCUGAUGCAGCGACGCCGCGUGGGGGAUGAAGGCCUUCGGGUUGUAAACUCCUUUCGCUAGGGACGAAGCUUUUUGUGACGGUACCUAGAUAAGAAGCACCGGCUAACUACGUG